rnacentral:rRNA from 1 species
UACGAAGGGGGGCUAGCGUUGUUCGGAAUUACUGGGCGUAAAGGGUUUGUAGGCGGUUGAACAAGUCAGUGGUGAAAGCCCAGAGCUUAACUCUGGAAUUGCCAUUGAAACUGUUCAGCUUGAGAGUGUUAGAGGAAAGUGGAAUUCCUAGUGUAGGAGUGAAAUCCGUAGAGAUUAGGAGGAAUAUCGAUGGCGAAGGCAGCUUUCUGGGGCAUUUCUGACGCUGAGAAACGAAAGCGUGGGUAGCAAACAGG